CCCUUAGAUGUCCUGGGCUGCACGCGCGCUACACUGGAAGUUACGGAUUGAGAUACUACCUUGUCCGAAAUGGUCCGGGUAAUCACCUAAAAGCUUGUCAUAAUUGGAAUGGAUUAUUGUAACUAGUAAUCCUGAACGAGGAAUUCCUAGUAAGUCCCAGUCAACAGCUGGUACUGAUUACGUCCCUGCCCUUUGUACACACCGCCCGUCGCUACUACUGAUUGGACGUUUAAGCAAGAUUUUUAAACACUGACAGUGUGUAGUUCACGCUAUACUACAGUGAGAAGAAGAAGAUCGAGCUUACAUGUCUAGAGGAAGUAAAAGUCGUAACA
rnacentral:rRNA from 1 species